rnacentral:lncRNA from 1 species
UACUAUUCUAGUCAAUGUCCAAGUAGUACACUAAGUCAUCAUGAAUACUCGAAGUCAAAUCUGAAGAGACCCACCCGAAGGCUGUCUAUGGCCCUGAGACCCACCCGUAGGCUGUCUGGCCGGUGCCGAGCCUAAUGGCCCCGUGGUAGUCAUCAUCCCCACCCUAGGAAUGAGCCUGUCCCACGGCAAUCCACUUCGGCGCCCAAUCCCGCACGGCGAAUAUGAAUCGCGAUGGCCAUCUCCGGAGUGCCGGCUUGUAGGGAGCGACCCUCACAAGCAUGUGCGAAUGAGCACAAUGGCAAGUAAUCAAACAAUCUGUCGCAAGUACCAAGUCAUCAUGUCUACAACAUGGAAUAUAUCACAACUCUCA